GGUGGGCGUAGUUCAGUUGGUAGAGCACCAGAUUGUGGCUCUGGGUGUCGCGAGUUCGAGUCUCGUCGCUCACCCCAU
rnacentral:tRNA from 4 species